UACGUAGGGGGCAAGCGUUGUCCGGAUUUAUUGGGCGUAAAGAGCGUGUAGGCGGCCAGGUAGGUCGGUUGUGAAAACUGGAGGCUCAACCUCCAGACGUCGACCGAAACCAUCUGGCUAGAGUCCGGAAGAGGAGAGUGGAAUUCCUGGUGUAGCGGUGAAAUGCGCAGAUAUCAGGAAGAACACCCGUGGCGAAAGCGGCUCUCUGGGACGGUACUGACGCUGAGACGCGAAAGCGUGGGGAGCGAACGGG
rnacentral:rRNA from 1 species